UACAGAGGUCCCAAGCGUUGUUCGGAUUCACUGGGCGUAAAGGGUGCGUAGGCGGUCGGGUAAGUCUGAUGUGAAAUCUCACAGCUUAACUGUGAAACUGCAUUGGAUACUAUCCGGCUCGAGGAAUGGAGGGGAGACUGGAAUUCCUGGUGUAGCGGUGGAAUGCGCAGAUAUCAGGAGGAACACCGGUGGCGAAGGCGGGUCUCUGGGCCGUUACUGACGCUGAGGAGCGAAAGCGUGGGGAGCGAACAGG
rnacentral:rRNA from 1 species